rnacentral:rRNA from 1 species
AUUGAACGCUGGCGGCAUGCCUUACACAUGCAAGUCGAACGGCAGCGCGGACUUCGGUCUGGGGGCGAGUGGCGAACGGGUGAGUAAUACAUCGGAACGUACCCUGUUGUGGGGGAUAACUAGUCGAAAGAUUAGCUAAUACCGCAUACGACCUGAGGGUGAAAGUGGGGGACCGCAAGGCCUCACGCAGCAGGAGCGGCCGAUGUCUGAUUAGCUAGUUGGUGGGGUAAAGGCCCACCAAGGCGACGAUCAGUAGCUAGUCUGAGAGGACGAUCAGCCACACUGGGACUGAGACACGGCCCAGACUCCUACGGGAGGCAGCAGUGGGGAAUUUUGGACAAUGGGGGCAACCCUGAUCCAGCAAUGCCGCGUGUGUGAAGAAGGCCUUCGGGUUGUAAAGCACUUUUGUCCGGAAAGAAAUCGCGCUGGUUAAUACCUGGCGUGGAUGACGGUACCGGAAGAAUAAGCACCGGCUAACUACGUG